rnacentral:pre_miRNA from 1 species
UGUGAAGACACGUGUUGGACACGAGUUUGGCAUGUGUCCUAUGCACAGGACACGUGCCAAACCUGUGUCCGACAUGUGCCCUACACA